GGCUCAGUGGUGGGACCACUCCUGCAUUAAAUUAUUGGUAAUCCACUGUGUAGGAGAUGCCCGUUCGACUCGGGCCUGAGCCA